CAUCCUUUAACCUCACAGUGCGUUUAUCUUACUUCUCUUUUCAUAGGUGCUUCGACCUUGUGCUGGCCGCUAGUCAGUACUGUCUUCGCUUCCUGUCGGUCUCUCGCCCUCAGCGCCUCUCUGCUCGUGUGUCUCUCUCGGCCGAUUGGUUGUGUCAUCGCUCUUGCCGAUCAUCGGAUUUAGUAUCAUGCGUCGUGUGCUGCAGUCGUCGCUCGGCCGCCGCUCCGCUACGUGCGGGUGGACAGCGGCCGCCACCAUGACGUCUGCGAGCCGUGCCUUCAUGGAUCUGUACAACCCGACACCAGAGCACGCGGCCUUGCGUGAGACCGUGGCCAAGUUUUCUCGUGAGGUGGUCGACAAGCACGCCAGGGAGGACGACAUCAACGGCCACUUCAACCGCGACCUCUUCAAGCAGCUUGGCGAUCUGGGUGUAAUGGGUGUGACAGUUCCCGAGGCAGACGGCGGCGCCGGCAUGGACGCUGUGGCUGCUGUAAUCAUCCACCACGAACUCUCCAAGUAUGACCCCGGGUUCUGCCUAGCCUACCUCGCCCACUCCAUGCUCUUUGUAAACAACUUCUAUUACAGUGCUUCGCCGGCGCAGCGGGCGCGGUGGCUGCCCAAGGUGCUCACGGGCGAGCACGUUGGCGCCAUGGGCAUGUCAGAGCCGAGCGCUGGCACCGAUGUGCUGGGAAUGCGGAUGACCGCGAAGAAAGACAGCAACGGCAACUACGUGUUGAACGGCAGUAAGAUUUGGAUCACGAACGGCACGGUCGCCGACGUGUUUCUUAUCUACGCCAAGGUGGACGGCAAAAUCACAGCCUUCACGGUAGAGCGCGGCACAAAGGGCUUCACACAGGGCCCAAAGAUUGACAAAUGCGGCAUGCGCGCAUCUCAUAUGUGCCAGCUCUUCUUGGAAGACGUCGUUGUCCCGGCGGAGAAUUUGCUCGGUGAGGAGGGCAAGGGCAUGGUGGGCAUGAUGCGCAACCUAGAGCUGGAGCGCGUCACCUUGGCUGCCAUGGCGGUCGGCAUCGCGGAGCGCUCUGUAGAGCUCAUGACGUCAUAUGCGUCGGAGCGGAAAGCAUUUGGCCAGCCCAUCUCUAACUUCGGCCAGAUCCAGCGCUACAUCGCAGAGGGCUACGCCGACACCGAGGCGGCGAAGGCACUGGUGUACUCGGUCAGCCACAACGUCCACCCAGGCAAUAAGAACCGUCUUGGCAGCGAUGCCGCCAAGCUGUUUGCCACACCGAUUGCCAAGAAGGUCGCGGACUCAGCGAUACAGGUGAUGGGUGGUAUGGGGUACUCGCAAGGUAUGCCGGUUGAGCGACUCUGGCGCGACGCGAAGCUGCUGGAGAUCGGUGGCGGUACCAUCGAGGCACACCACAAGAACAUCACAAAGGACCUCCUGAAGGGGCUCAAGUAGACACGUAGACGCAGGAGGGAGAGGUACUGCGAGGCGAGACGGCGGCUGCACCUUGGGGUCGCCACCCACCGUCGUGACCACCACCACAUUCCUCACCGAAGCUUUCACCGUUUCCGUGGAACCUCUCCCUUCGCUGAUCACACGCAAGGGGUGGCGUGUCGCCCUACUUUUAACCUAUGGCAGGAAAGUAUAAUCCGAACACCGACCGACGCACACCCACAUUUCUACACACACAACACAUACACACAAAUGCGAAGAAGAGAAAAAACGAGCGACUUUGCCCAAUGCGCGCGUCGGGUGUGCGGCGGGGGGGCGGAUGAGAAGGGCGGGCACGACGACGCCUCUCUCCAUCUCAGUGGGACGUGCGCCAUUCAGGCAGUUCCCUCUUCUUUUUUAUUUCUUUACGUUCGUGUCUGCUAUGCACGUGCCUCAACAAAGAAGGAGGUGUAAGGGGUGUGGGGGCAGUGUCCAGAAACGAGCACAUACAUGCAUGUUUAGAAGCGCCGUUGCUAGCAUGAGACCGGCGAGUUCCUCAUCACACCACCGCCUCCCCCUUUUUCUUCUGCCCGCCCCUUCCUCCUCCCCGUCUAG
rnacentral:misc_RNA from 1 species